GAUGAACGCUAGCGGCAGGCUUAAUACAUGCAAGUCGAGGGGCAGCGCAGUGUAGCAAUACACGGGCGGCGACCGGCAAACGGGUGCGGAACACGUACGCAACCUCCCCAUCACUGAUGAAUAGCCCUCCGAAAGGAGCAUUAAUACAUCAUAACUUCAUGAAGCGGCGUCGCUUUAUUAAUAUAGCUCCGGCGGUUUUGGAUGGGCGUGCGCCUGAGUAGGUAGUUGGGGUGGUGACGGCCCACCAAGCCUGCGAUUAGUAACGGGUGAGAGAUCACGACCAGGCACACGGGCACUGAGACACGGGGCCUACGCCUACGCGAGGCAGCAGUAAGGAAGAUUGGUCAAGGGACGCAAGUCUGAACCAGCCAUGCCGCGUGAAGGAUGAAGGUCCUCUGGGUUGUAAACUUCUUUUGAAUGGGACGAAACCUCUUUUUCUUGAGAGACUGACGGUACCAUUAGAAUAAGCACCGGCUAACUCCGUG
rnacentral:rRNA from 1 species